GACGAACGCUGGCGGCGUGCUUAACACAUGCAAGUCGAACGGAAAGGCCCCUUUGGGGGUGCUCGCGUGGCGGACGGGUGAGUAACACGUGCGUAACCUGCCCUUGACUUCGGGAUAACUUCAGGCAACUGGGGCUAAUACCGGAUAGGAAUCAUUGCCGCAUGGUGGGGGGUGGAAAGCUUCGGGGGUUUUGGAUGGACUCACGGCUUAUUUGCUUGUUGGUGGGGGAGUGGGUUACCAACGCUUUGACGGGUAGCCGGCCUGGGGGGGCGACCGGCCACAAUGGGACUGGGGUACGGCCCAGACCCCUACGGGAGGCAGCAGGUGGGAAUAUUGCACAAUGGGCGGAAGCCUGAUGCAGCAACGCCGCGUGCGGGAUGACGGGCUUCGGGUUGGAAACCGCUUUCAGCAGGUGCGAAGCUUGUGGUGACGGUACCUGCAGAAGAAGCACCGGCUAACUACGUG
rnacentral:rRNA from 1 species